GACGAAGGUGGCAAGCGUUGUUCGGAAUCACUGGGCUUAAAGGGCGCGUAGGCGGGCUGUUAAGUGCUUUGUGAAAUCCCCCGGCUCAACCGGGGAAUCGCUGGGCAUACUGGCAGUCUUGAGGCAAGUAUAGGUGCGUGGAACUCUUGGUGGAGCGGUGAAAUGCGUAGAUAUCAAGAGGAACGCCGGUGGUGAAAACGAUGCACUGGGCUUGUCCUGACGCUGAGGCGCGAAAGCCAGGGGAGCAAACGGG
rnacentral:rRNA from 1 species